ensembl:lncRNA
CUGUUAUACAAACGAUUAUCUGAGUAAAUGGCUUGUGAAUCCUCAUGGCAAGUUCUCCCAGCGCAAUGAGACUCUGUAACAGGAAGUUCAGACAACAACACAUUCAUGUGUGAACACGUUACCAAGUUCUCAUGCAAACAUUCUUUUCUUGCCCUUCAAACAAGACACACAGGCAGGUAGGGCUGCAACAAACUAUUUAAACUAACACGCCUUUUAUUGCUGUCAUAUAAUACAUCUGUUUGGGGGGUUUUUAACUACAUGAAACACACAUAAAGUUAAAACCUUUCUUUUUUGUCUAUUACAUGUUGGCUUUGGCACAUAUUGGUAAAUGGCCUGCAUUUGUAUAGCGCUUUACUCAGUCCCUAAGGACCCCAAAGCGCUUUACACUACAUUCAGUCAUUCACCCAUUCACACACUGGCAAUGGCAAGAUACGUUGUAGCCACAGCUGCCCUGGGCGCACUGACAGACACGUGGCUGCCGGACACUGGUGCCACCGGGCCCUCUGUCCACCACCAGUAGGUAAACAUGGGGUUUCAUUUCUAACUAGUCACAAUGCCAGAGAGCGAUAGACCUCAACACACUUGGAUACCUCGAGUAAUAAGGUGUAUCUCUGUGAUUUUCUUCAUCCUGUUUAAUGUUCAAGCGAUAGUUGGAUGUGUGUACUUUAAUGACUGUCCAAGGGCGCCCUCCAUUCCCGUCAUUCUGGUUUUUUGUGGAUUCAUACCUGUCUUGUGGGGAUUGAGCCGGUUUUUGAACAGGUGCAAUAUUUUCUUCGACUGUCUGUUCUUCAUCCUCGAUUUUGCCAUAUUCAUCAUCGGUAGCAUAAUCGUCUACUCCAUCUAUGAACCCGACUACAACAAGAACGCUACAGAAACCGAUCACUACUGCAACAAGACGCUCUACCUGUCUGCAUUUUGUUGCAUCACCCUGACCUACGUCCUGACAGGUGUUUAUGUUUUCACUUAUUUUUUUGCUCUCUGCACCAACCAGAUGGUUUACGAUGAUGAGGAUCGGCCACUGCUGUGGAGCUAAUCAUAUGAAUGUGUGUACGUUUGUGUGUUCCCCAACUCCUCUUAGACCAGUGGACCAAUACUGAUGAAACAGAUUAAAAUGGUUUCACAAUAAUAUAUAUCAUAUCAAAUAUAUCAAACUAUAAUGGACAUAUACUAAUAAUAAUAAUGAUGCUGGCUGUAAUAAAAUCACAAGCAAACAACAAACCAAAUAUUAUACAAAUAUUUUCAUGUGUGCUUAUAUACAGAACAUAAUACAUUUAAUGUUGGUUAAUACAGCAACAUGCAGUUUUUGAUCUUUUGUUAGAGAAAUCUUACUAUUAACAAGUCAUACAGAUGACUCAUCAUAGCAGAAUAAAUGAUCAUGAUCUUCCCUGUUUAACAAACGAAUAUAUUUUGUUUUAUUAAAUGUGUGAUUUUAUUUAUUUUCCAAUAUCCAUGCUGUUUCUUUCUUCUUCUUCUUCUUUUUAAUUGUAAGUAAAUAAAUAAAUAAAAUGGGUUAGGACAACAGGACAACCUGUUGUUGAUUGGUUCUUGUUGUUUUGAGACAGCAGCUUUGAUCAUUGAUGUGUGGUGUAGAUUUAAGCUGCUUCAAACUUCUCUUGUACCUCCGCUAGUUUGUAAGUUAACACCAGAGCACUAUUACAUUACAAACACCCCUUUUUUAUUUUAUUUUAUUUUAUUUUAUUUUAUUUUAUUUUUGCUUUGCUCUAUGCUCUAUGAGAAAACACACUUCUACCCUGUGGGGCAAGGAAUCGCCUGCAGUAAUAUUUGAGGCCACUAGAUGUCCCCCUAAUGCCUCUACAUCAUGCAGUAAAUAAUUGUUAUGACUGAAUCUCGAAUAACAAAUUUUCUCAACAUUAUUCAUUUUCUUUGCAUUAUUAAUAUAUAUCCUAUUUUGCCUUUUGACAUGAUUUUUUUUCUACACUCAACCAUCAGUGAAAUUAAAUUAUUAAAAAUAAAAGAGAGUGGUGUUGGAACUGAGAACAGGGCGUGUAUUUCACAAGAAGCAGAAAGACCUCGUCCGGCACAGGAAGUGCACUUAUACUCUGUCUACAACAAUGUUUAUGCGAAUACGAGGGGAGGCUGAUGGAAACCUCUUCUGGGAGUAAAACUGUCAGUUAGAAAAGAAGAACCAUGGCCUACUCUCAUAAGAUUCUGGGGUUUUCUUCAACAGAGGUGUUUACGUUUGUGCUCUGAUCUGUGAACACAAAAGAGACCUUCGGAAAACUGAAAACUAACACUGGAAAAAGGAUACAGUGAAUUUUCUGCAAACCCUGAGCUUUACCCCACAUUUCCUUAAAUAUACAAAAAC